rnacentral:lncRNA from 1 species
UGGAUUUCAAAAUUUUAAUAAAGAAAUCUUAAAUAUUAAACCCUUAAACCAGUAUCUCCUUGAUGAUUAACAAUCAUAUAUAAUAUAAAUUCAAGAUUAAAUUUAAGUUAUAGAAGAAUACCUGCAGUGCUUAAUCCAAAUUUUGGCAGAACCUCCACCAGGCGCCCAAGUGUUCGCCCUCCAACGGUGAUCCACACAGGGCUAUGAUCAGG